rnacentral:lncRNA from 1 species
UCCUCUUCGCAGUCCCAGAGGAUGUGACUGAGCGUAGCUAGCUCGCCGCACAGGUGACAGUACGGACUUAAUCUAUCCGGGUAAAUGUAAGAGUAUACAAAAAAUGACGAACAGCGCA